rnacentral:misc_RNA from 1 species
UGGUUCUGGCAUCGAUGAAGAACGCAGCGAAAUGCGAUAAGUAAUGCGAAUUGCAGAAUUUCCGUGAGUCAUCGAAUCUUUGAACGCACAUUGCGCCCUUUGGUAUUCCGAAGGGCAUGCCUGUUCGAGCGUCAUUAUCACCUCUCAAGCCCGGCUUGUUGUUGGGCGUGGUCGCAUCCGCCACCCGCCCCAAAGAUAAUGACGGCGCCCGUGGGACCCCCGGUACACUGAGCUUUCCGGAGCACGUACUCGGGUCAUCCAGGUCCCGCGGACCCGGUCAUUCACCUCUGAAUCAUCAAGGUUGACCUCGAAUCAGGUAGGGAUACCCGCUGA